GAGGCUCUGGAUUCGAUCUCCAGUACUACAAAAGAAUAAUAAUAAUGACAACAAAAUAGUUCUCAAGAAGGAAAUUCUUUUUUUAAAAAAAGAGCCUAUUUGUAGAGGAGUGGAAAAAAACUAAGGGAAUGCGCAAGUUUUGAAGUGUCAAUGGACUAGUAACACGGAAGACUAUUCAGUAUCUUAGGCUUGAAGAAGUAAGAGAAGGACAGUUAUCACUGGAACCUGGAUAAGACUGUAGCCAUGGAAAAGAGCUGGUUACAGCUAUUCGAAAAGGGACUACCCAACAGGUGCUUGACAACUGACAAACUCUCAAACCAGCGGCGAAGAAACUGAGAUUCAACACAGAAAACAUCCCUUGGUUAUCCUGCUGACUUCUUCAAGAAGAAAAAAGCAACUGAGAUGGGUCUUCUGCUGCAAUUGGCUCAAUUAUCAAGAAAUUAUUUUGCAAGCUGAAGGCUGAUGUUUACUUUGAAACAGUUGCUUAGGUUGUGUUAUUUGUGAAUUUUUUACCUUUUUCUCCAAACCAGAAGAGUAAAUAAAUGGCAAGUACGGAUGA